UGGGAAUGAUGAUUUUCUGUUGUAGGAAUCUCGAUGAGCGUACACUGAUAUCAAAAUGCAGUAAUCUCGCUGACCCCA
rnacentral:snoRNA from 13 species